rnacentral:rRNA from 1 species
GACGUAGGGCGCGAGCGUUGUCCGGAUUUACUGGGCGUAAAGGGCGCGUAGGCGGCCACCGCAAGUCAGUUGUGAAAGCUCUGGGCUUAACCCAGAAAGGUCAGCUGAUACUGCGGGGCUAGAGUGCAGAAGGGGCAACUGGAAUUCUCGGUGUAGCGGUGAAAUGCGUAGAUAUCGGGAGGAACACCCGUAGCGAAGGCGGCACUCUGGGCCGGUACUGACGCUGAGGAGCGAAAGCAUGGGGAGCGAACAGG